rnacentral:rRNA from 1 species
CGUGUAGGCGGUUUCGUAUGUCUGACGUGAAAGCCCCGGGCUCACCCCGGGAAGUGCGUUGGAAACUGCGGAACUAGAGUCUUGGAGAGGGAGGUGGAAUUCCAGGUGUAGCGGUGAAAUGCGUAGAUAUCUGGAAGAACACCGGUGGCGAAGGCGACCUCCUGGACGAUGACUGACGCUGAGACGCGAAAGCGUGGGGAGCAAACA